rnacentral:rRNA from 1 species
UACGUAGGCAGCAAGCGUUGUUCGGAGUUACUGGGCGUAAAGGGUGUGUAGGCGGUUGUUUAAGUUUGGUGUGAAAUCUCCCGGCUCAACUGGGAGGGUGCGCCGAAUACUGAAUGACUAGAGUGCGGGAGAGGUGAGUGGAAUUCCUGGUGUAGCGGUGAAAUGCGUAGAUAUCAGGAGGAACACCGGUGGUGUAGACGGCUCACUGGACCGUAACUGACGCUGAAACACGAAAGUGUGGGUAGCAAACAGG